GAGGGUCCAGCUGCAGAAGACUGUAGAGUGGAACUCCACAGGAAAUAUGUCAGCUCCACAGGAAACACGUGAUCUUUAAGAACGUAAAGUGGGGCUAAUCUUUACGCCGUAAAAUGGAGCUCCACAGGAAACACGCCAUCUACACUGUGUUUGUACCAAGAGAGAGUCUGGACUAAGUCUUCGAACCUGAAUUGCCAUUACAUUAAAAGGAACAUUGUUUUAUAAACCAAAUUGUAAACAUGGAUCCCCGUUUAAAAGCGGCUUUGCUUUUUCAAGACAAAAUUAUACGGCGGUGCACACUACCAUGCCGGGACAAGGUACAUUGUCACCCGGACUUGGCUUCCUCCCUACAACUGUGAGCCACUUCAAUCCCUUCCUAAUGAUGCAGAGAGGAAGGACAUUAUUGUGUUCCCACUAUGGACUCCUGGGCAUUUUUAGCUUUGUGUAUGUAGGAGCACAUCAAUACCAUACAAUACACUUAACCGAAUAAAAGCCCAAAAGUCUGAGGAUGUUAGGAUUUUAAGAUUUUAUUGUAAUUGUGUCAGUUACAUCUUGGUACAGCUUUAAUUUACGCAUUUUAAGCCAUGGGCAACUACUGUGAAUCAUUGACUGACUGUUAUUGCAAUGGCAUUGCUUAACACCUUGAGUAACUGUCUCUUAGGUGAUGAAGCCAGGUAUAAAAGAAAUGUUCUUUCUCGACUCAUGAUGUGCUAAGAAAAGGACAUGAUUUGGUGGCCACCAAUAUGUGUCACUCUUGAGGUCAAUUUUCUGUUUAUGUUAGUGUGCAGGAACCUGUUCAGUGUUCCAGGUUAAGUACAUUUUAGAUCACGUUCUGAUCUAUUUUGUGUUCAGCAUGUCUUCAGUUUAUUCAGUGAAUUCACAUGCUUACUUGACAGACCUGUACUGUGGAGUACAGCCUUUUGAUUAAAAGGUGAUACAUCAGAUGUUAAAUCAGAUAUUUAAAUAAUAGUAUUAAAAUACCUAGAAGAUGAGUUCUGACAGUAGAAUUGGUUUAUCCGAUAUAGUUACCAAAUUAUGUCAUUAAAUUGUCGUUAUAAUUGG